CCAGUUUUAAGUUCUGUUGUUGUUGUGGAUUACCACUGACUACCAGAGGAAUUUGAUCUUCAGGUUAUCAGGACACGGUGUGGAAUCCUCAAUAUUUUGAUAGUAAAGAUGAUAUACAGACGUGCUGAAAAAGUGCAUCUGUUUUUCAAAGAUAGGAGAGUCUCAGCCUGUUGGAUUUGCAGCACGUGGACAUAUUUAGAUAGAUGCAGUAUAUCCUGGGGUUUACAUUUAUUUACACUUGCAUGUAAAAUCUUUCCUGAUCCUUCCACUCAGGAGAUAUUUCUGAAACUUCAGGUAGCUUGCACACAGAAUAUGAAGCUUCUUAUCUCGCUCAGUGCUUGAAGACCAGUAUAACUGGAAUAAUUUCAUGAGAGCUCAUGCUUGGACAUCUGGCUUGUUUGUCACUGGGAGGAAGAUUUCUCCUGGAUUCCAUGUAGGUUCAACUUCUGCUGUUGGUUGACUAUCAAAGAAAAUAUUUAAAAUAAGUAAA
rnacentral:lncRNA from 1 species